rnacentral:misc_RNA from 1 species
GGGAUACUUGGCCGCCGUAUGCGAACACAAUGCCCGAGAACCGGCGAUACGGUCUGGUGAUAACAAACCAGAGUUCGGACGCGGACGGUGUGGACACCGUUGCCCUAAUUGUGAACGCCAACCGACGCCGAUGCGUAGAAUGCCGCGCUGUUCUUCUUACUUAUAACGGGGAUUUCAUCUGGCGCUGCUGUUUGCCACCAUAGGCUUCAUACCUCAACCUUAGCUAACAUGACGUUCGACUCCAGCAUGCUAGUGGUCUGCGAGGAUGAGGAAACCGCCCAAUGGGUCAUGUCAG